rnacentral:lncRNA from 1 species
AUGGUGCCUUAAUUUUUGGAUGCAGAAAAAAGAGUCCUUCUACUUAUGAAAUACCUUAUAUUCCAUGCCAAUUUAUUAGGGAAUUUUUAAAGCCAAUUGUUGGCGUCUCUUGGAUGUGUAUGGCGCUCCUUCUUAUCUUAUAAAUAAUAGAGUGCUACACCUAGGUUCCACAUCCCAUAUCUGGAUGAUUUUGGCAUGAGAAU